CUUCACCCUGUGUCCUUACAUGGCCUUCUCUUUGUGCAAGUGGCCUUGGUAUCUCUUUCUUUUCUUAUAGGACAUCAGUCACAUUGGGUUAGGGCUCUAUUCUUAUGACCUCUCUGAGUCUUAAUUACUUGCCUAAAGCCCUAUUUCCAUAUACAGUUAUAAUUAGGGGGUAGGGCUUCGAUAUAUGAAUUUGGGGAGGACAUAAUACAGUAAUAAUGGAUAUCAAAGGAUAAUCUUUUAGGAUACUCCCUUUCUAAUCAGAGUGUGAUAUGCUGAAGUAGAAAUAAACUGGUAAGUAAGCAUAACAUAAUGGUUUUAUUGUCAGAUUGGUCAAUACUAGUUUGGCAUUUAAUACCUGACUCUCCCUAUCAUUAUUACUGACUGUGUUGGGUCUGAUUGAGUGAUUGCAUUUAUUUUUCUUGUUUCUCAUUUCUAGAAUGCAAGGGCUCUCUAGCUUCAGACAAAUCACAUACAAGAACAAAGUACAACACUGGAGACCUUGAAGGAAAAGGAAAAAAAGAAGAAGAAGAAGAAGAAGAUUGUGUAAAGUAAACCAUCAACAAUGGUUUACAGAUGGACUUUAUCACACUGUUAGAAGCAAAGAUCUUUGCCAUUAUGGAGAUGACUUUUUCAGGGGUAAGUCUUAUUUGAUGAUACUGAAUUUUUUUCCCACUUUUCAAAACAGAGCAGGGCUCUAUUUAUGUAAAACAAUUACAAACAGACUAAAAAUAAAUAAUUUAAUCUUCUAGUUUUUUGUUCUUAUAACAACAAAUAAGGUGUUUGAUCAUCCUGUUCUCUGAGGAAGCAAGGAACCAAAAUAUCUCAGACCUUUG
rnacentral:lncRNA from 1 species